ACACGGGAAAGGAGGUGGUUCGAAGAAUGGAUAUUCAGAGGACGCGUGAGGUGGCUGCCGGUUGAGCGCCACAGCCGCGGUCCCCGUACCGCGGCCCGCUGCAGUGGAUUCGGUCCCCGCGCGAGCGCUGAACUAAUCCAAGGCAGUCACCCGGCCCCCGAGCCCCCGGUUUGUCCGACCGGGACCGCGAGAGAUCAGAUCUCCGCGGUACGGCUCGGGGGCCGUGCUCU
rnacentral:sRNA from 1 species